GCAGAUGUUUCUGUGAAGAACAUUCCAUUCUCUUGAGCAAAUUGCUCGCCCUCCUCAUUCUGCACCUCUCUCUUAGAAUCUAGAUCAGAUUUGUUUGCCACCAAUGCCAUAACCAUAUUAAGAUUUCCUUGUCUUUGCAGUUCUUGAACCCAUUUUUUGGCUCUAAUGAAUGUAUCCAUGCUUGAGAUAUCAUACAUUAUUA
rnacentral:misc_RNA from 1 species